CCUACGGGAGGCUGCAGUAGGGAAUCUUCCGCAAUGGACGAAAGUCUGACGGAGCAACGCCGCGUGAGUGAAGAAGGCUUUCGGAACGUAAAACUCUGUUGUUAAAGAAGAACAAGGAUGAGAGUAAAUGCUCAUCCCCUGACGGUAUUUAACCAGAAAGCCACGGCUAACUACGUGCCAGCAGCCGCGGUAAUACGUAGGUGGCAAGCGUGGUCCGGAUUUAUUGGGCGUAAAACGAGCGCAGGCGGUUCUUUAAGUCGGAUGUGAAAACCCCCGGCUCAACCGGAGAGGGUCGUAAGAAACUAGAGAACUUGAGUGCAGAAGAGGAGAGUGGAAUUCCACGUAUAGCGGUGAAAUGCGUAGAUAUGUGGAGGAACACCAGUGGCGAAGGCGACUCUCUGGUCUGUAACUGACGCUGAGGCUCGAAAGCGUGGGGAGCAAACAGGAUUAGAUACCCUGGUAGUC
rnacentral:rRNA from 1 species